rnacentral:rRNA from 1 species
AUGGACGCUGGCGGCGUGCCUAAUACAUGCAAGUCGAGCGAACAGACGAGGAGCUUGCUCCUUCGACGUUAGCGGCGGACGGGUGAGUAACACGUAGGUAACCUACCUAUAAGACUGGGAUAACUUCGGGAAACCGGAGCUAAUACCGGAUAAUAUUUCGAACCGCAUGGUUCGAUAGUGAAAGAUGGCUUUGCUAUCACUUAUAGAUGGACCUGCGCCGUAUUAGCUAGUUGGUAAGGUAACGGCUUACCAAGGCAACGAUACGUAGCCGACCUGAGAGGGUGAUCGGCCACACUGGAACUGAGACACGGUCCAGACUCCUACGGGAGGCAGCAGUAGGGAAUCUUCCGCAAUGGGCGAAAGCCUGACGGAGCAACGCCGCGUGAGUGAUGAAGGUCUUCGGAUCGUAAAACUCUGUUAUUAGGGAAGAACAAACGUGUAAGUAACUGUGCACGUCUUGACGGUACCUAAUCAGAAAGCCACGGCUAACUACGUG